GACGAACGCUGGCGGCGUGCUUAACACAUGCAAGUCGAACGAAGUGGCGGACGGGUGAGUAACGCGUAAUCAACCUGCCCUUAAGAGGGGGACAACAGUUGGAAACGACUGCUAAUACCGCAUACGGAUGGAGGGGAAUGCGUCUGAUUAGCUAGUUGGGGGGGGAACGGCCCACCCAGGCGAUGAUCAGUAGCCGGUCUUGGGGGAUGGACGGCCACCUUGGGACUGGGACACGGCCCAGACUCCUACGGGAGGCAGCAGUGGGGAAUCUUCCGCAAUGGACGAAAGUCUGACGGAGCAACGCCGCGUGAGUGAUGACGGCCUUCGGGUUGUAAAGCUCUGUUAAUCGGGGCGCGGUACCGGAAUAGAAAGCCACGGCUAACUACGUGCCAGCAGCCGCGGUAAUUC
rnacentral:rRNA from 1 species